UCGGUAAUUCCAGCUCCAAUAGCGUAUAUUAAAGUUGUUGCAGUUAAAAAGCUCGUAGUUGGAUUUCGGAACGGCACAGCGGGUCCCAGACGGUUUGUUUGGCGCACCCGCUGUUUUUAGCCGUCCCUAAGGUCGGACUCCCGUGGGGCCCCGCUUCCUUCGGGUUGCGGGCCCCACACUCAGGGCAUUCGACCACGUUACUGUGAAAAAAUCAGAGUGUUCAAAGCAGGCGCUCGCCUUGAAUGGAUUAGCAUGGAAUAACACAACCAGACCUCGGUCUUGUAUUGUUGGUUUGAAGACUGAUAGGCGCUUGAUUAAUAGGGACAGUUGGGGGCAUUCGUAUUCCGAUGUCAGAGGUGAAAUUCUUGGAUUCUCGGAAGACGAACUUGUGCGAAAGCAUCUGCCAAGGAUGUUUUCAUUAAUCAAGAACGAAAGUUCGGGGAUCGAAGACGAUUAGAUACCGUCGUAGUCCGAACCAUAAACGAUGCCGACUAGGGAUUGGAGGAGGUCUUUUUAGACUCCUUCAGCACCUCGUGAGAAAUCAAAGUCUUUGGGUUCCGGGGGGGAGUAUGGUCGCAAGGCUGAAACUUAAAGGAAUUGACGGAAGGGCACCACCAGGAGUGGAGCCUGCGGCUUAAUUUGACUCAACACGGGGAAACUUACCAGGCCAGGACAUAGGAAGGAUUGACAGAUUGACAGCUCUUUCUUGAUUCUAUGGGUGGUGGUGCAUGGCCGUUCUUAGUUGGUGGAGUGAUUUGUCUGGUUAAUUCCGAUAACGAACGAGACCUUAACCUGCUAAAUAGUUGGCCGAUUUCUGAAAUCGGCCCCAACUUCUUAGAGGGACUAUGCGUGUUUCUAGCGCAUGGAAGUUUGAGGCAAUAACAGGUCUGUGAUGCCCUUAGAUGUCCUGGGCUGCACGCGCGCUACACUGACGGAGAAAACAAGUCCUUUUCCUCGACCGAAAGGUCCGGGUAAUCUUUGCAACCUCCGUCGUGAUGGGGAUAGACCUUUGCAAUUAUCGGUCUUCAACGAGGAAUUCCUUGUAAGCGCGAGUCAUCAGCUCGCGUUGAAUACGUCCCUGCCCUUUGUACACACCGCCCGUCGCUCCUACCGAUUGGAUGAUCCGGUGAAGUCUUCGGAUCGACGUGCACGCGAGCCUUCGGGCUUUUGUCGAGCGCGACGAGAAGUUGAUUAAACUUUAUCAUCUAGAGGAAGGAGAAGUCGUAACAAGGUAGCCGUA
rnacentral:rRNA from 1 species